rnacentral:rRNA from 1 species
UGCGUAGGCGGCUUGGUGGGUCUGGUGUGAAAGCCCCGGGCUCAGCCCGGGAAGGGCACUAGAAACUGCCAAGCUGGAGUGCCGGAGGGGAGAGUGGAAUUCCUGGUGUAGCGGUGAAAUGCGUAGAUAUCAGGAGGAAUACCGGUGGCGAAAGCGACUCUCUGGACGGCAACUGACGCUGAGGCACGAAAGCGUGGGGAGCAAACA